UGGGGAAUUUUCCGCAAUGGGCGAAAGCCUGACGGAGCAAUACCGCGUGAGGGAGGAAGGCUUUUGGGUUGUAAACCUCUUUUCUCAAGGAAGAAGCAAGUGACGGUACUUGAGGAAUCAGCAUCGGCUAACUCCGUGCCAGCAGCCGCGGUAAUACGGAGGAUGCAAGCGUUAUCCGGAAUUAUUGGGCGUAAAGCGUCCGCAGGUGGCGUCUCAAGUCUGCUGUCAAAGACAGAAGCUCAACUUCUGAAAGGCGGUGGAAACUGGGAUGCUAGAGUACGGUAGGGGUUGAGGGAAUUCCCAGUGUAGCGGUGAAAUGCGUAGAUAUUGGGAAGAACACCAGUGGCGAAGGCGCUCAACUGGGCCGUAACUGACACUCAGGGACGAAAGCUAGGGUAGCGAAAGGGAUUAGAUACCCCCGUAGUCC
rnacentral:rRNA from 1 species